UACGAAGGGGGCGAGCGUUGUUCGGAUUUACUGGGCGUAAAGGGCGCGUAGGCGGCGGGUCAAGUCGAGUGUGAAAGCCCCGGGCUCAACCUGGGAGGUGCGCUCGAGACUGGUCUGCUAGAGUUCGGGAGAGGAGCGUGGAAUUCCCAGUGUAGAGGUGAAAUUCGUAGAUAUUGGGAAGAACACCGGUGGCGAAGGCGGCGCUCUGGACCGAGACUGACGCUGAGGAGCGAAAGCCAGGGGAGCAAACGGG
rnacentral:rRNA from 1 species